rnacentral:ncRNA from 1 species
UAAAAACCGCGGGAGCGCAGGCAGUGCGCUGAGAGGACGGCCGAUGCCGUCGACCGUACGAACCUGAUCGGGUAAUGCCGGCAAGGGAGAGGAAGAAACAUGACU